GACAGAGGGUGCAAACGUUGUUCGGAUUCAUUGGGCGUAAAGGGUGCGUAGGCGGCGCGGUAAGUCGGGUGUGAAAUCUCGGAGCUUAACUCCGAAACUGCAUUCGAUACUGCCGUGCUUGAGGACUGGAGAGGAGACUGGAAUUUACGGUGUAGCGGUGAAAUGCGUAGAUAUCGUAAGGAAGACCAGUGGCGAAGGCGGGUCUCUGGACAGUUCCUGACGCUGAGGCACGAAGGUCAGGGGAGCAAACGGG
rnacentral:rRNA from 1 species